rnacentral:lncRNA from 1 species
CGGAAGGCGCCGGCGCCCAGCUGGGUCAAGUUGUUGUAGCUGAGGUCGAGGAACACGAGCUUGGCCGAGCCGCUGAACGUGCCCUCCUCCAGCGAGCGCAGCGAGUUGUUCCUGAAGUCCAGGCUGGAGGGUGAGCGAGGCAAGUGGCUGCCAGGGCCCCCGCUGUGGCCUGCAGGGCCAGUCAGCACUUUCCAUGCCGGCCCCGAACUUCUGGAUGGAACUGGCAUCCAUGCAAGGAUCAGCUGCUGGUCUGAGAGGUCCAGCUGCUGAGGCUCUGAGGCCUGGAGUCACCAGGCCUGGCUUCCAAGCUGUGUGGCCUCAGACCAGUACCUCUGCCUCUGUGGACCUGGUAGCUCCAUUUGUGAAAUGGAAAAAGACAACGUGAGGGCCGCAUGGGGAAGUAUUUGUAUGGGAACAUGAUUUGAAAGGUCUUUGGAGAAAUAUUGCCAAUAAAAGUGGCCACAAAUCUUGCGAUGGCAGGAACAAUUUGUUUCCUCGAGUGUCCCCCAAAGUUCCUUGGAUCCAAAUGUAAGCAUUCUUUUCAUUAAUAUCAGCAGAACUAGACAUGGUUGGGCUUUGUAGGGAGCAGGGAGGUAUCUCAGAUUCCAGAGCUCCCAUCCCUUGGGGGAAAUACAAGCUUUGCCACCUCUAAAUUUUUCCCCCAACAAAUAAAACAGAGCCAUGACCUCAGCAAGGUCACAAUAUGAGUCAGUGAUAGGCGCUAGAAAUAGAACACAGGCAUUCUGAGUCCCCACCUGCACCAUUCACCAAUUCACCCACUCACCCCCUCUCCAGGAAGGGAAUCUCUUACCCUUGAGGGCAAACAUUGCAGGUAACAAACAUUGCAGGUAACAGGGAGGAACGUUGAGAGAUUCCACUUGUCAGCUCUGUCUCCGUAUGUAUUCUCAGAGUCUGCACACUUUGUAAUUCCUAUUCAAAAGGCUCAAAGCAGGAGCGUGGCAAAUACCCAAGGUAUCCCUAUGAUUUAAACACCUGACGUCAUGCCUUCCCCAUCCCCCACCCCCAGCGGAAUCCUCACUCCUCCCUGUGUUCUCCGAACUACAGAGCACGUCAUGUCUCACUCUCCAUCCCUGUCCAAUUUCCCAUGAGGUUGGGCCUUGGGAAGCUAUGUGCAAGGCGGUCCCCAGGAAACCCACCACGCGAUGCCAGGUUGCUGUAAGCAAGAAAAAUUCAAUAAGAAGAAUAUCCCCCUUUGUUCACCAGACUGACAUCUAAAUUAGCCAAAAUCCUAUGCCUUAAG